rnacentral:rRNA from 1 species
CCCUGACGCAGCAACGCCGCGUGAGUGAGGAAGGCCCUCGGGUCGUAAAGCUCUGUCAGAUGGGAAGGACUACAUUGGUCUAAUAGGCCUUUGUACUGACGGUACCAUCAAAGGAAGCACCGGCUAACUUCGUGCCAGCAGCCGCGGUAAUACGAAGGGUGCAAGCGUUAUUCGGAUUUACUGGGCGUAAAGCGCGCGCAGGCGGAUAGAUAAGUCAGAUGUGAAAUCUCGGGGCUCAACCCCGAAACUGCGUCUGAAACUAUUUAUCUAGAGUCUUGGAGGGGGAAGUGGAAUUUCGCAUGUAGGGGUAAAAUCCGUAGAGACGCGAAGGAACACCAGAGGCGAAGGCGACUUCCUGGCCAAGUACUGACGCUGAGGCGCGAAAGCGUGGGGAGCAAACAGGAUU